CGAUGGCGGACGGGUGAGUAAUGUCUGGGAAACUGCCUGGUGGAGGGGGAUAACUACUGGAAACGGUAGCUAAUACCGCAUAACGUCGCAAGACCAAAGAGGGGGACCUUCGGGCCUCUUGCCAUCGGAUGUGCCCAGAUGGGAUUAGCUAGUAGGUGGGGUAACGGCUCACCUAGGCGACGAUCCCUAGCUGGUCUGAGAGGAUGACCAGCCACACUGGAACUGAGACACGGUCCAG
rnacentral:rRNA from 1 species